AGCAGAGUGGCGCAGGGGAAGCGUGCUGAGCCCAUAACCCAGAGGUCGGUGGAUCGAAACCACUCUCUGCUA
rnacentral:tRNA from 1 species